CCUACGUGAGGCAGCAGUGAGGAAUAUUGGUCAAUGGGCUUACGCCUGAACCAGCCAAGUCGCGUGAGGGAAGACUGCCCUAUGGGUUGUAAACCUCUUUUGUCAGGGAGCAACGCCGGCUACGUGUAGCCGGACUGAGAGUACCUGAAGAAAAAGCAUCGGCUAACUCCGUGCCAGCAGCCGCGGUAAUACGGAGGAUGCGAGCGUUAUCCGGAUUUAUUGGGUUUAAAGGGUGCGUAGGCGGAAUGCCAAGUCAGCGGUAAAAUCGCGGGGCUCAACCUCGCUCCGCCGUUGAAACUGGCGUUCUUGAGUGGGCGGGAAGUAUGCGGAAUGCGUGGUGUAGCGGUGAAAUGCAUAGAUAUCACGCAGAACUCCGAUUGCGAAGGCAGCAUACCGGCGCCCAACUGACGCUGAAGCACGAAAGCGUGGGUAUCGAACAGGAUUAGAUACCCGUGUAGGC
rnacentral:rRNA from 1 species